GACGAACGCUGGCGGCGUGCUUAACACAUGCAAGUCGAACGGUGAACCUCUUCGGAGGGGAUCAGUGGCGAACGGGUGAGUAACACGUGGGCAACCUGCCCCCGGCUCUGGGAUAACUCCAAGAAAUUGGGGCUAAUACCGGAUGUUCACCGCUUCCCGCAUGGGUGGUGGUGGAAAGGGUUUCCGGCUGGGGUGGGCCCGCGGCCUAUCAGCUUGUUGGUGGGGUAGUGGCCUACCAAGGCGACGACGGGUAGCCGGCCUGAGAGGGUGACCGGCCACACUGGGACUGAGACACGGCCCAGACUCCUACGGGAGGCAGCAGUGGGGAAUAUUGCGCAAUGGGCGGAAGCCUGACGCAGCGACGCCGCGUGGGGGAUGACGGCCUUCGGGUUGUAAACCUCUUUCAGCAGGGACGAAGCGCAAGUGACGGUACCUGCAGAAGAAGCACCGGCCAACUACGUG
rnacentral:rRNA from 1 species